rnacentral:rRNA from 1 species
CACGAAGUUAGCCGGGGCUUAUUCUUGCGGUACCGUCAUUAUCUUCCCGCACAAAAGAGCUUUACAACCCUAGGGCCUUCAUCACUCACGCGGCAUGGCUGGAUCAGGGUUGCCCCCAUUGUCCAAUAUUCCCCACUGCUGCCUCCCGUAGGAGUCUGGGCCGUGUCUCAGUCCCAGUGUGGCUGAUCAUCCUCUCAGACCAGCUACUGAUCGUCGCCUUGGUGAGCCAUUACCUCACCAACUAGCUAAUCAGACGCGGGCCGAUCUUUCGGCGAUAAAUCUUUCCCCGUUAGGGCUUAUCCGGUAUUAGCUGAAGUUUCCCUCAGUUGUUCCGAACCAAAGGUACGUUCCCACGUGUUACUCACCCGUCUGCCGCUGACGUAUUGCUACGCCCGCUCGACUUGCAUGUGUUAAGCCUGCCGCCAGCGUUCGCUCUGAGCCAGGAUCAAACUCU